UAAGCACCGGAAACGGUGUCUAAUACCGCAUGUGCUCUUCGGAGUAAAGCUACGGCGGUUUGGGAACGGCCUGCGCAUGAUUAGCUUGUUGGUGAGGUAAAUAGGCUCACCAAGGCGACGAUCAUUAGCUGGUCUGAGAGGAUGAUCAGCCAGACUGGGACUGAGAACGGCCCAGACUCCUACGGGAGGCAGCAGUAGGGAAUUUUCCACAAUGGGCGAAAGCCUGAUGGAGCAACGCCGCGUGCAGGACGAAGGCCUUCGGGUUGCAAACUGCUUUUAUAUGUGACGAUUAUGACGGUAGCAUAUGAAUAAGGAUCGGCUAACUCCGUG
rnacentral:rRNA from 1 species